AUUGAACGCUGGCGGCAGGCCUAACACAUGCAAGUCGAGCGGGGUUUUCGAACCUAGCGGCGGACGGGUGAGUAAUGCGUAGGAAGCUACCCGAUAGAGGGGGAUACCAGUUGGAAACGACUGUUAAUACCGCAUAAUGUCUACGGACCAAAGUGUGGGACCUUCGGGCCACAUGCUAUCGGAUGCGCCUACGUGGGAUUAGCUAGUUGGUGAGGUAAUGGCUCACCAAGGCGACGAUCCCUAGCUGGUUUGAGAGGAUGAUCAGCCACACUGGAACUGAGACACGGUCCAGACUCCUACGGGAGGCAGCAGUGGGGAAUAUUGGACAAUGGGCGCAAGCCUGAUCCAGCCAUGCCGCGUGUGUGAAGAAGGCCUUCGGGUUGUAAAGCACUUUCAGUAGGGAGGAAGCGUUGUGUGUUAAUAGUACACAGCGUUGACGUUACCUACAGAGGAAGCACCGGCUAACUCUGUGCCAGCCGCCGCGGUAAUAC
rnacentral:rRNA from 1 species